rnacentral:sRNA from 1 species
GCUGGGUGCAAUGGCAUACGCCUGUAUUCUCAGCAACUCAGGAGGCUGAGGCAGGAGGAUUGCAUGUUUGAGGCCAGCCUUAGCAACUUCGGGAGGUUCUAAGCAACUUAGUGAGACCCUGUCUCAA